rfam:Monosiga brevicollis mitochondrion, complete genome.
AGGUUAGUAGUAUAGUGGUCAUUACUUUGUGCUUCAAACGCAAUUACCCGGGUUCAAUUCCUGGCUAACCUG